rnacentral:snRNA from 1 species
AAAAAGGGCUUCUGUCGUGAGUGGCACACGUAGGGCAACUCGAUUGCUCUUCGUGCGGAAUCGACAUCAAGAGAUUUCGGAAGCAUAAUUUUUUAAUAUUCGGGCAGCUGGUGAUCGUUGGUCCUGGCGCCCUU